rnacentral:lncRNA from 1 species
GCUGCACUCCAUCCUUUUGGGGAUCCCUGGUGAUGGCGUAUCAUCCAUCUUCCUGUGGCUUGAAAGGAUUGAGAGUCAAAACAUGCAUCGAAAUUACAUUUGACGAUUGAGGAAAUCGGACGUGCCUACGUUUGUCGUUGGAUAGGAGGUUGUAGUUUGGAAUAUAACGAUCCAAUAAAAAUAUAUCAAUAAUAUAAAGAAUACGUAGUGUCAUUGUAGAAAAAAAACCGAAAAUUGCGUGGAACACCGAACAACCAAUAUGAAAUCAAUUAGCAAAGAAAACAUAGCCUAGUUAUGCAUUUUGUAUAUAUAUCUGUUUAUAACCCAUUAUCAUGAUGAAUGACUGAAUAAAUAAUAUGAUAUAAAUCACGAUUUCGCAAUAUUAAUGGUAGAAAAACAAAAGCCAAAUUUCAAAAAAAAAAAAAAAAAACAAACAAACAAACAACCAAAAGCUUGCAUAUUUUUGAAAUCAGUUUAUUGAUAUGUGGGUUACUUACCUCUUUGGCUCUUUGCACAUACAUUAAAACAUAUGUGAAAUGAAAUGAAAUUGGCAAAAUCGUUUUUUUUCUCAUUCAACAAAAACUUUCAUUAAUUUUCGUUCUAAAAUUUCUUACUCGAAUUCAAACAUUUUUCUUUUCAAAUAUGUUUGUAUUGUGAAAGUGUCUUUUGUAUUAUGUACCACAAUUACAAACCUAAUGAUAUUUUAGUGUGAUUUCAAAAUAACAAUAUCUCACCAAGAUUUACAUUACGCGAAUAAAACCUUAAAAACAAACACAAACGCCAACAUAGGUCAUCUUUUUGGGGAUCAUUCAAAUAUAUAUAGUAGACGCAAAAUAGAUAUCUAAGAGUCUAUGGCAACUCUGAUGCGACAUCAUGUUUCAUACAAAGACAAACCCUAUAAACUCUAUUAAUUGUU